UACGUGGGGGGCAAGCGUUGUUCGGAAUUACUGGGCGUAAAGGGCGCGCAGGCGGCCUUAGAAGUCAGAUGUGAAAGCCCCGGGCUCAACCUGGGAAUGGCAUUUGAUACUCUGAGGCUGGAGUACGGGAGAGGAGAGUGGAAUUCCCAGUGUAGAGGUGAAAUUCGUAGAUAUUGGGAAGAACACCGGUGGCGAAGGCGGCUCUCUGGACCGUAACUGACGCUGAGGCGCGAAAGCGUGGGGAGCAAACAGG
rnacentral:rRNA from 1 species